AGGGAUCAUUACUGAGUGAGGGCUCACGCCCGACCUCCAACCCUUUGUGAACCAAACUUGUUGCUUCGGGGGCGACCCUGCCGACGACUUUGUCGCCGGGCGCCCCCGGAGGUCUUCUAAACACUGCAUCUUUGCGUCGGAGUUUAAAACAAAUUAAACAAAACUUUCAACAACGGAUCUCUUGGUUCUGGCAUCGAUGAAGAACGCAGCGAAAUGCGAUAAGUAAUGUGAAUUGCAGAAUUCAGUGAAUCAUCGAAUCUUUGAACGCACAUUGCGCCCUUUGGUAUUCCGAAGGGCAUGCCUGUUCGAGCGUCAUUUCACCACUCAAGCCUGGCUUGGUAUUGGGCGUCGCGGUGUUCCGCGCGCCUUAAAGUCUUCCGGCUGAGCUGUCCGUCUCUAAGCGUUGUGGAUUUUUCAAUUCGCUUCGGAGUGCGGAUGGCCGCGGCCGUUAAAUCUUUAUUCAAAGGUUGACCUCGGAUCAGGUAGGGAUACCCGCUGAACUUAA
rnacentral:rRNA from 1 species